UACGUAGGCAGCAAGCGUUGUCCGGAUUUAUUGGGCGUAAAGAGCUCGUAGGCGGUUCAGUAAGUCAGGUGUGAAAUCUUUGGGCUUAACCCAAAGCGUGCACUUGAUACUGCUGUGACUUGAGUUCGGUAGGGGAGUGGGGAAUUCCUAGUGUAGCGGCGAAAUGCGCAGAUAUUAGGAAGAACACCCGUGGCGAAGGCGGCUCUCUAGGACGGUACUGACGCUGAGACGCGAAAGCGUGGGGAGCGAACAGG
rnacentral:rRNA from 1 species